CAGCUGGAAACGGCUGCUAAUACCGCAUAACACAAGUAAUUCGCAUGAAUAGCUUGUCAAAGAUUUUAUCGGUGUGAGAUGGAUCCGCGUCUGAUUAGCCAGUUGGCGGGGUAACGGCCCACCAAAGCGACGAUCAGUAGCCGACCUGAGAGGGCGACCGGCCACAUUGGGACUGAGACACGGCCCAAACUCCUACGGGAGGCAGCAUG
rnacentral:rRNA from 1 species